GACGAACGCUGGCGGCGUGCUUAAAAACAUGCAAGUCGAACGGACUUCUCAUGAAGCUUGCGAUUGAGAAGUUAGUGGCGGACGGGUGAGUAACGCGUGGGCAACCUGCCCCUGAGCCCGGGAUAACAGUUCGAAAGGACUGCUAAGACCGGAUAUACUUGCGGUGAAGCAUUUCACUGCAAGGAAAGGGAACGCUCAGGGAUGGGCCCGCGUCCCAUUAGCUAGUUGGUGAGGUAACGACCCACCAAGGCGACGAUAAGUAGCCAACCUGAGAGGGUGAACGGCCACACUGGGACUGAGACACGGCCCAGACUCCUACGGGAGGCAGCAGUUGGGAAUCUUCGGCAAUGGGCGCAAGCCUGACCGAGCAACGCCGCGUGAGUGAUGAAGGUUUUCGGAUUGUAAAGCUCUGUCUUCCGGGACGAUAAUGACGGUACCGGAGGAGGAAGCCACGGCUAACUACGUGCCAGCAGCCGCGGUAAGACGUAGCGUG
rnacentral:rRNA from 1 species